UUUUGGGUUCGGGUUUUUCGGAUUUAGAAAUUUAAGACCCAUUCGGGUAAUUUAAGAUUUUGGUUCGGGUUUGGUUCGGGUUCGGGUUUAUUUAUAUAUUGAAAUAUCAAAAUUUUGUAUGUAAAUCUAUUAAAUUACUUGAAAAUUUCAAAAAUUUCCAAAACAACACGAGUAAUUUUGCUUGAAUAUAUUUAAAAAUACACAAAAAUAACUAAAUAUCCAAAAAAAUCCUAAUAUUUUCUAUAUAUAAGUAUAAAUAUAACUAAUAUAUAUUUAUAUUUAAGAUAUGUUUGGGUACUUAUUCGGGUUCGGGUUCGGGUCCGGGUUUUUCAGGUUUUAAAGUUUAGACCCGUUUGGAUAUUUUAAAAGUUCGAGUUCAGGUUCGGUUCGAGUUUUUCGGAUCGGGUUUAGAUCGGUUCUUCGGAUUUGGAUAUUAUGCCCAGGCUUAAGAAAAAUAGCAGCACUGUCUAUAUAUGUUGACGGUGUACAAAAUCAUUUCAGUUUUAUUUCAGUAAUAAAGAGUUCUAUGAUUACAAGUAAUUUUAGUUGAAUUUGUGGUGAUAGAUGAGAAUUU
rnacentral:sRNA from 1 species